rnacentral:rRNA from 1 species
ACGAACGCUGGCGGCAUGCCUAACACAUGCAAGUCGAACGAGACCUUCGGGUCUAGUGGCGCACGGGUGCGUAACGCGUGGGAACCUGCCCUUAGGUUCGGAAUAACUCCCCGAAAGGGGUGCUAAUGCCGGAUAAUGUCUUCGGACCAAAGAUUUAUCGCCUUUGGAUGGGCCCGCGUUGGAUUAGCUAGUUGGUAGGGUAAAAGCCUACCAAGGCGACGAUCCAUAGCUGGUCUGAGAGGAUGAUCAGCCACACUGGGACUGAGACACGGCCCAGACUCCUACGGGAGGCAGCAGUGGGGAAUAUUGGACAAUGGGCGAAGGCCUGAUCCAGCAAUGCCGCGUGAGUGAUGAAGGCCUUAGGGUUGUAAAGCUCUUUUACCCGGGAUGAUAAUGACAGUACCGGGAGAAUAAGCUCCGGCUAACUCCGUG